AGUAGUUAGGAUUUAUCAUUUAUAAUAACAAUGGAGUCAGAAAGUUGAGAAAAAGGAAGAGGGGCACAACAGUUUCUACACUGUUUCACGUUCACUGCUUGAGAAAAGAGUAUCUGUGCUUCAGAUUUUAAUCAUUUGGAGAUCUUACGGAAGGGCAAGACCCUUACAAAUGAGCUUGCACUUGAAUUCUUCGAUGGAGAAAUUGUUCUAGAGGCUCAUACAUGAUCUCAUCUCUAGAGUUUGAUAGCAGAUCUUGAUCCAAGGGUGAGCACUCCGUCUCCAGACUUCCAUGGGUCAUCUUAUUUGCUCUUGUCCAUCUUUCGGGCAAUGAAACAUCUUUAUUUAUUUUAUUUUGGGAUAUCUCUUUAGACAUGAUCUUUGUUAGUAGUUCUUGUACGAUGACUUUCGGGUCUUGUAAAUUUUAGUAAGUAGUUUGUUGACUUCCGUAUUAAUAAUGAUUAGCUCUAGAUUAUUGUUA